CACGCGCGCUACACUGAUG
rnacentral:siRNA from 1 species